rnacentral:misc_RNA from 1 species
AAAAAGGGUAACGCAAUCUUAGCUUGGAUAACAUCACUAUAUUCCCAAACGACGGCUGAGAUUUUUCUAACAACCAAACAAGAAAUCGACAAGUGUUUGGUCUAUUCCAAUAGCAAGCUUACACUACAUCUAUAUAGUGUUCAUCUUCCAUACAAGUGACCCUGUGUAAAAUUUUCCUGCAUUAGAUUAAGUUUCAAAGGGGCCCUCCAUGCAGCAUGCGCGUGCUCUAGUACAGGAACUGUCUUCAAAGCGUAGAUGUCCGGUUGUCUUCAGCAACUAAUUAGGUUAUAAUUCAUCCACUUGAGUUUUUUGGGUAGUGAUCUUGAUGCAAUAGAGACGAUGAGCGAAGCUGGGCGCACCAACAAUGGAGGAAACGCCAACAACGGCGGAACUGAUGGUGAUGACAAUCGACAAGGCCAAGGUGGAUCCGGUCAACCGCGUGACAAUCGCCAAGGCCAAGGUCAACAGCCCCGUCGUCCUCCGAGGCCAAUGGCACCACCCAUGAGAGGAAAUGUGAUGAGGAAGAUUGUGGCUGAGAUUUGGUCCUCCUCCUCGCCUGCUACCUGAGAUACUACACCACAUAAUGGUUGUUGUACAUAAGUUUAUCUCUUUUCUUCCCUGAAGUCUGAACUACUGCUUAACCAUGUUUAAGGGCCGUGGUCUCUUUUUCUUCUUUUUUUUUUUUUUU